rnacentral:rRNA from 1 species
UACGAAGGGGGCUAGCGUUGCUCGGAAUCACUGGGCGUAAAGCGCACGUAGGCGGCUUCUUAAGUCAGGGGUGAAAUCCUGGAGCUCAACUCCAGAACUGCCCUUGAUACUGAGGAGCUCGAGUCCGGAAGAGGUGAGUGGAACUCCGAGUGUAGAGGUGAAAUUCGUAGAUAUUCGGAAGAACACCAGUGGCGAAGGCGGCUCACUGGUCCGGCACUGACGCUGAGGUGCGAAAGCGUGGGGAGCAAACAGG